GGAAGUAAAAGUUGUAACAAGGUCUCCGUUGGUGAAUCAGCGGAGGGAUCAUUACCGAGUUUACAACUCCCAAACCCAAUGUGAACCAUACCAAACUGUUGCCUCGGCGGGGUCACGCCCCGGGUGCGUCGCAGCCCCGGAACCAGGCGCCCGCCGGAGGGACCAACCAAACUCUUUCUGUAGUCCCCUCGCGGACGUUAUUUUUACAGCUCUGAGCAAAAAUUCAAAAUGAAUCAAAACUUUCAACAACGGAUCUCUUGGUUCUG
rnacentral:misc_RNA from 1 species